ACCGCCGAGAAAAACCUCUAGGGAGUUUUGUUGGUGUCCGUACCUAAACUGACACAGGUGGGUGAGGUGAGAAUCCUAAGGCGCUCGAGAGAACUGCUGUUAAGGAACUCGGCAAAUUAACCCCGUAACUUCGGGAUAAGGGGUGCCCUCUAGGGUGUAGGUCUGAUCGACCGAAGCUCAGGAGGGCCGCAGAGAAAUGGCGAUGGCGACUGUUUACUAAAAACACAG
rnacentral:rRNA from 1 species